rnacentral:rRNA from 1 species
GGGUUGUGAGGUUAAGCGACUAAGCGUACACGGUGGAUGCCCUGGCAGUCAGAGGCGAUGAAGGACGUGCUAAUCUGCGAUAAGCGUCGGUAAGGUGAUAUGAACCGUUAUAACCGGCGAUUUCCGAAUGGGGAAACCCAGUGUGAUUCGUCACACUAUCAUUACGUGAAUACAUAGCGUAAUGAAGCGAACCGGGGGAACUGAAACAUCUAAGUACCCCGAGGAAAAGAAAUCAACCGAGAUUCCCCCAGUAGCGGCGAGCGAACGGGGAGCAGCCCAGAGUCUGAAUCAGCUUGUGUGUUAGUGGAACGGUCUGGAAAGUCCGACGGUACAGGGUGAUAGUCCCGUACACCAAAAUGCACAGGUUGUGAACUCGAAGAGUAGGGCGGGACACGUGGUAUCCUGUCUGAAUAUGGGGGGACCAUCCUCCAAGGCUAAAUACUCCUGACUGACCGAUAGUGAACCAGUACCGUGAGGGAAAGGCGAAAAGAACCCCGGCGAGGGGAGUGAAAAAGAACCUGAAACCGUGUACGUACAAGCAGUGGGAGCACCUUCGGGUGUGACUGCGUACCUUUUGUAUAAUGGGUCAGCGACUUAUAUUCUGUAGCAAGGUUAACCGAAUAGGGGAGCCGGAGGGAAACCGAGUCUUAACCGGGCGUUAAGUUGCAGGGUAUAGACCCGAAACCCGGUGAUCUAGCCAUGGGCAGGUUGAAGGUUGGGUAACACUAACUGGAGGACCGAACCGACUAAUGUUGAAAAAUUAGCGGAUGACCUGUGGCUGGGGGUGAAAGGCCAAUCAAACCGGGAGAUAGCUGGUUCUCCCCGAAAGCUAUUUAGGUAGCGCCUCGUGAAUUCAUCUCCGGGGGUAGAGCACUGUUUCGGCUAGGGGGUCAUCCCGACUUACCAACCCGAUGCAAACUGCGAAUACCGAAGAAUGUUAUCACGGGAGACACACGGCGGGUGCUAACGUCCGUCGUGAAGAGGGAAACAACCCAGACCGCCAGCUAAGGUCCCAAAGUCACAGUUAAGUGGGAAACGAUGUGGGAAGGCUCAGACAGCCAGGAUGUUGGCUUAGAAGCAGCCAUCAUUUAAAGAAAGCGUAAUAGCUCACUGGUCGAGUCGGCCUGCGCGGAAGAUGUAACGGGGCUAAACUGUGCACCGAAGCUGCGGCAGCGACACUCUGUGUUGUUGGGUAGGGGAGCGUUCUGUAAGCCUGCGAAGGUGUCUCGUGAGGGAUGCUGGAGGUAUCAGAAGUGCGAAUGCUGACAUAAGUAACGAUAAUGCGGGUGAAAAACCCGCACGCCGGAAGACCAAGGGUUCCUGUCCAACGUUAAUCGGGGCAGGGUGAGUCGACCCCUAAGGCGAGGCCGAAAGGCGUAGUCGAUGGGAAACAGGUUAAUAUUCC